GACCGUUCCGGUGGCCUAAGUGGUUAGAGCAUCCGCCUCAAAUGCCGAAGGUCGCGAGUUCUAACCCCAUCUGAGUCA